UGCUCACUUUACCUUCCUCCAAAGAUUUCCUAAAGUGAGUCUGCAGCAACUUCAGAGAAACAGUUCUAAAAUCAUCAACACAUUCAACAAUGCUUCUAAAUCUCAAGUCACAUACAGGACCGAUGCCAUGAACCAUAAAGACCAAAUGGUCAACCUGGGACAUUUCUCCAUCAGGUAUUUCAUCAUGGUCAUCAUCAAUUCCACGUUUUACUACCCUUGGUCUUGCCUGACCAUCUUGAGAGGUCCCCCACUCAUCUGAUGUGGCAGAAGGUUGGAACUGAACUAUAACCUUGGGAUUAUGCAUAACAAUUGUCUCCCCAUUUGGGAAUUCAAGCCGACGAUGCCAUUGAUUUGUAGUUACGGCCCUUUUAUAUUCUGCCUCUAGCUUAUCACUAAAAUCCUCAGUGUAAGGAAUAAAGCGGCUAUCCUUCUCUCCCUUAUAGAACCACAUACAUCGUCUCACUUCUGAAGGCUCCUCUUCCCAGUAAACAGCCUUCCUCAUUCUGUCAUACAGGUACACAUCAUAGCGUCCGCCAUCAGUGCUCAGAACCACACUCUCAGGAUCAGGCUGGACAGAAUUAUAGACUUCCUCUAGUUUCGCAGAAUCCAGAAUGCUGAAUGGCAUCCAUAUUUGCUUGUCCUCCA
rnacentral:lncRNA from 1 species